CAAAUUGCAGAGGGAUUAGGGCUCUGUUUGAUGAGUUUAAUAUUUUAUAUUUAUCUUGAAGUUUCUAUACAUACCUAUAUCUAUAUCCUGGAUCUAAUUUAGCCUGGGGUGUAAUCAGUAAAAAAAAGGCAGGGUAACCUCAUCACCUGUAAGCAUUCCAGUGGGAAAAUACACAGCACCAGCAGGAAUUCAGGUUAAAGAUGUUGAAAAAAAAUCUCCUUUCAUCAGGGCUUUCUUCCUCAUUAAAUGCAGAGUUUGCUCAUAAGUAUUUGCCAAAUAAAAAGGGAGAAAUAGGUAAAAGUUAAUACUAUACAAUUAAGUUCCCUUGAAUUUUCCCAGAAGGUUCACCUCAGCUUAAUUUAAUAUCCCCUCAGUCCUCCCAAGCCAUCUGCUUGGCUGAGAUGUGAAACAAAUGUGUACAGUUCGAUGUAUUUAUCAUGCCAGCCUCGGAGGUGAGCAAAGCUCAUAGGAAACAGGUUUGCUCAGUGACCCUGCAGGGCAGUUGUCUCUUCAAGACGUCCUUCACCAUGCAGCAAAAGGCUGCUAUCAGCUAUCCUGGAAGAGACUUGGAAUAAUGGAGCAAGGCAGGUGGAGCUUGUGCUAAAUGAUGAGCAUGUCAACAGCCUCGUUGUCUUGGUGAGUUGGGCUCAGCAGCUGGGGAAGUCAGGGGAGAGACUGGCCUGAAUUCCCAGCUGGGUGGGGGCACAUGCAAACUGGUUCCUCCUGAGCUUGUUAGAGACCAUCAGUGAUUUGAGUGGGAGAGCAAAAGGAAGCAGGAGUGUUGGGAUGAAGGAGGAAAGCUUCCUGGCCCCUGUGGUGAUAACCUAUUAGCACAGCUCUGUCUCCGAGGGAGCAGAUGCCAGCCUUUGGAGCAUGCUGCUGGCUGGUGUGUGCUCACACCUCUGAGGCACUGAUGGGUCCUGAGCAGCCCCACAGUUGAAGGAUAACUUCCUGUUGUUCGCAUCCUGGCAGAGCUGCUGGCAUCCCUGCUGUUCCGUAUUCCUCCCCAGAAUCUGCAUGUUCCAACAAUCAGCUGGAAGUUCCGACCCUUUGUUUGUUUGGUUCUAGCGUUUUGGGGCAGAUCAUUGAGGUGCUGGGCUGGCAAAUUGAGAGCCCUGUGGUCACUCGGGCUGUGUGUCUGUCCCUAAACCCUUGCUUUUCCCAGGAAUGGGAUGGCAAGGACCCCAC